UGGGGAAUAUUGCACAAUGGGCGCAAGCCUGAUGCAGCCAUGCCGCGUGUAUGAAGAAGGCCUUCGGGUUGUAAAGUACUUUCAGUCGGGAGGAAGGUGGUAAGGUUAAUAACCUUGGCAAUUGACGUUACGGAAAGAAAAAGAACGGGCAAACUCGGUGCCAGCAGCCGCGGUAAUACGGAGGGUGCAAGCGUUAAUCGGAAUUACUGGGCGUAAAGCGCACGCAGGCGGUUGAUUGAGUCAGAUGUGAAAUCCCCGGGCUUAACCCGGGAAUUGCAUCUGAUACUGGUCAGCUAGAGUCUUGUAGAGGGGGGUAGAAUUCCAUGUGUAGCGGUGAAAUGCGUAGAGAUGUGGAGGAAUACCGGUGGCGAAGGCGGCCCCCUGGACAAAGACUGACGCUCAGGUGCGAAAGCGUGGGGAGCAAACAGG
rnacentral:rRNA from 1 species